GUUAAGUUGGCAGAAUUAUGUGACUGACUUAGGAUCAGUAGAAAUAGGUGAAGUCCUUUACUUAAUA
rnacentral:tRNA from 2 species